AGAGUUUGAUCAUGGCUCAGAUUGAACGCUGGCGGCAGGCCUAACACAUGCAAGUCGAGCGGUAGCACAGAGGAGCUUGCUCCUCGGGUGACGAGCGGCGGACGGGUGAGUAAUGUCUGGGAAACUGCCUGAUGGAGGGGGAUAACUACUGGAAACGGUAGCUAAUACCGCAUAACGUCGCAAGACCAAAGAGGGGGACCUUCGGGCCUCUUGCCAUCAGAUGUGCCCAGAUGGGAUUAGCUAGUAGGUGGGGUAACGGCUCACCUAGGCGACGAUCCCUAGCUGGUCUGAGAGGAUGACCAGCCACACUGGAACUGAGACACGGUCCAGACUCCUACGGGAGGCAGCAGUGGGGAAUAUUGCACAAUGGGCGCAAGCCUGAUGCAGCCAUGCCGCGUGUAUGAAGAAGGCCUUCGGGUUGUAAAGUACUUUCAGCGGGGAGGAAGGUGUUGAGGUUAAUAACCUCAGCAAUUGACGUUACCCGCAGAAGAAGCACCGGCUAACUCCGUGCCAGCAGCCGCGGUAAUACGGAGGGUGCAAGCGUUAAUCGGAAUUACUGGGCGUAAAGCGCACGCAGGCGGUCUGUCAAGUCGGAUGUGAAAUCCCCGGGCUCAACCUGGGAACUGCAUUCGAAACUGGCAGGCUAGAGUCUUGUAGAGGGGGGUAGAAUUCCAGGUGUAGCGGUGAAAUGCGUAGAGAUCUGGAGGAAUACCGGUGGCGAAGGCGGCCCCCUGGACAAAGACUGACGCUCAGGUGCGAAAGCGUGGGGAGCAAACAGGAUUAGAUACCCUGGUAGUCCACGCCGUAAACGAUGUCGACUUGGAGGUUGUGCCCUUGAGGCGUGGCUUCCGGAGCUAACGCGUUAAGUCGACCGCCUGGGGAGUACGGCCGCAAGGUUAAAACUCAAAUGAAUUGACGGGGGCCCGCACAAGCGGUGGAGCAUGUGGUUUAAUUCGAUGCAACGCGAAGAACCUUACCUACUCUUGACAUCCAGAGAACUUUCCAGAGAUGGAUUGGUGCCUUCGGGAACUCUGAGACAGGUGCUGCAUGGCUGUCGUCAGCUCGUGUUGUGAAAUGUUGGGUUAAGUCCCGCAACGAGCGCAACCCUUAUCCUUUGUUGCCAGCGGUUAGGCCGGGAACUCAAAGGAGACUGCCAGUGAUAAACUGGAGGAAGGUGGGGAUGACGUCAAGUCAUCAUGGCCCUUACGAGUAGGGCUACACACGUGCUACAAUGGCGCAUACAAAGAGAAGCGACCUCGCGAGAGCAAGCGGACCUCAUAAAGUGCGUCGUAGUCCGGAUUGGAGUCUGCAACUCGACUCCAUGAAGUCGGAAUCGCUAGUAAUCGUAGAUCAGAAUGCUACGGUGAAUACGUUCCCGGGCCUUGUACACACCGCCCGUCACACCAUGGGAGUGGGUUGCAAAAGAAGUAGGUAGCUUAACCUUCGGGAGGGCGCUUACCACUUUGUGAUUCAUGACUGGGGUGAAGUCGUAACAAGGUAACCGUAGGGGAACCUGCGGUUGGAUCACCU
rnacentral:rRNA from 1 species